rnacentral:misc_RNA from 1 species
CGUAAGGCGCCGAAUGAGUCAUUAAUAAAAUUAACAUCAUCCGAUCCCUAGUCGGCAUAGUUUAUGGUUAAGACUACGACGGUAUCUGAUCGUCUUCGAUCCCCUAACUUUCGUUCUUGAUUAAUGAAAACAUCCUUGGCAAAUGCUUUCGCAGUAGUUAGUCUUCAAUAAAUCCAAGAAUUUCACCUCUGACAAUUGAAUACUAAUGCCCCCAACUAUCCCUAUUAAUCAUUACGUCGAUCCUAGAAACCAACAAAAUAGGGUCAAACGUCCUAUUUCAUUAUUCCAUGCUAAUGUAUUCAAGCUAGCGCUUGCUUUAAACACUCUAAUUUUUCAAAGUAACAGUCCUGAUUUCCCAC